GGAGGAUGUAAAUAAAACAAACUUUUUUGAUCUUUCACAAUCCAAACAAAAUCUUUUUCUUGCAACUGUGUUUUGAUUUGCAGUCUCGUGUAAAUAUGAAAAAGACACAUUACAAAAAAAUAUUUGUAAUUGUAAACGCGUCGAUUCUGUACAAUGGAAGACGACUACGGUGGCGUUACGGAUUCGCCCAAACGAGGACCCACCCUCUCAACAUCGACAUCUAGCUUUGAGCCUUUUGAUGCUCAUGACCCGAACUUGUCCCGAUUGGCAACAAAGAUGUUCCAGAAAACCGGUGAUUACAUCUCACACGAACUAAGCUCCACCGUGGAAGACUACAAGCUAAUUGAGAACAUGAACAAAGCCAUGCUGGGGAAGGUGUUUGAGAUGAAGCAAAUGUCGGAGUCGAUCGCAUCCAAAAACAGUGAACUGAACCGGAAGUACGAAGAGUUGAAACCGCUUUUGAAAAAAAUAGAAGACAUAGAAUCGACUGUGGAUAAACUGGAAGCGGCGGCAUAUCAACUUGAUUCGUACACCGUGCGGUUAGAGAACAAAUUCAAGACGUUAAAGGCUAAAAAAUAAGGUGGUACAACCUAGAAUAAUUCUAUUAUUAGAGAUUUGGCUAGCAAAUAACGGCAGUAAAAAGCGCUACAUAUACCCGUCUUUCGGAAAGGUCUUGCUAUUUAGAAAUCAAAGUUUCAGCCCUUGUUGUACUGAUCGUUUUCUCAUUUUGAGUGAUGUCCGUAUUGCAACCAUGUAGAUUCUAAAUCGAAUCUAUUGGGUAACUGUCAUAGUAGAACCGCGACCAGAUUGGAACUCAUCAAAUAAUGCCAGGUGCAUUUCAACAUCAAGCAUUUAUACCUAUUAUUUAGCUUUAUUUUUUAUAAUUUACAAAUUGAUUUUAUAGAUUUAACUCAAAUCAAUAUUACAAUCUUAAUCUGUAUACAUUAUCCUAACACGAGUUUAAAUAGUAUCGCUACAAUGUUGAGAAAUAUCAGAGCCACCGUUCGAAUGGAUCGAACCAGAUUCAAAACUUGAGCCUUUACCGUUGGUGAUUCACCAAAACCAUGGAUCUGAGAGUUGGUAGCACCCCAUCCGACUGAAACAUGAAAAAAUAAAGAUCACUCAUAUGACAUUAACGGAAAUUUAAGUGCGAAUAUUAGAAUAUAAACUGGAAAGAUUUA